AACCUUUACACUGCACGACAGUGCGAUAGGGGGACACCGAGUGCGAGGGCAUAGAGCCCUCGCUUUUGUAGACCGUAAGGAGGUCUACGAAUAAGGGCUGGGCAAGACCGGUGCCAGCCGCCGCGGUAACACCGGCAGCCCGAGUGAUGGCCGAUAUUAUUGGGCCUAAAGCGUCCGUAGCUGGCCGCACAAGUCCGUCGGGAAAUCCACUCGCUUAACGAGUGGGCGUCCGGCGGAAACUGUGCGGCUUGGGACCGGAAGAUCUGAGGGGUACGUCCGGGGUAGGAGUGAAAUCCCGUAAUCCUGGACGGACCACCGAUGGCGAAAGCACCUCGGAAGGACGGAUCCGACAGUGAGGGACGAAAGCUAGGGUCUCGAACCGGAUUAGAUACCCGGGUAGUCCUAGCCGUAAACGAUGCUCGCUAGGUGUGGCGCAGGCUACGAGCCUGCGCUGUGCCGUAGGGAAGCCGUGAAGCGAGCCGCCUGGGAAGUACGUCUGCAAGGAUGAAACUUAA
rnacentral:rRNA from 1 species